GCUGUACUCUCGUGAAUUCUGAAAGUUGGGGCUAUGACUUAGUAGUAAAACAAGGGGAAUAAAAUGCCCUUUCUGGACCUAGCACUACUCCCAACAACAAAAAAGAACCACCUCUUGACUUUUCAGGGAAGAAGAGGAAGGUAGCUCUAAGGUUUAUAAUAACCCUUUUUUCAGAAAACCAUCAAAAAAAAGCUAAACAUGUCCCCUACUUGGUUACUGUUGCAAAACACACACAGAGCAACACCAGCACUAACAGGAUGCCACAGCACCAAUAAGAUAACAAGGUACCCACAUGCAUAUAGAGAAAAAAACCAGAUGUGGAACAUUUAUCAACACAAAAGCUAUGGGCGUAUUUUCAUGGUAUACAUACACAAAGUGGCUUGGGAGACAGCUGAAAGCACCCAGCAAAAGCCUGGAAUGAAAUGACAAAAAUGGAAAUAUGCAAAGGACACGAAAAAUAAAUACCGAAUCUCAAUAAGAUUAUGGGUACUUUUGCAUUUCUAAAUGAAUGAUAUUAUGUAAUAACCUUAGGAACCCAAACGUGCCCAUGUUACCCUAAAUGAAUAGAUUGCUCCCCACUUUCUUCUUAAAAAUAUAAUUUGGAAAAAAAAAAGAGCAAACUAAAUGCCAUAACGCCGCAAGCAAAGCAUGAUAUUUACUCGCAGAUACAAAAUAGUCUACAAUCCAACCCAAGAAAGACCGGUGUGCUAUGUGAACAUAAGUGUAUGUGUGCAAGUGUGUGCGACUGUAAAAUUUGGAUGUAGCUCUAAGCUGUUUGCCAUGAGGUACUUGUAGUCCAGGAAUGCUUAUAAUUUUAUGUAUUUUUACACAAACUAAAGAAAACCUUAAAUGAAAGUAACAUUUGACAAUUCUAUAAGUCAAAGCUUUCGCAAAACAUGUACAUACGUACCUAACUGAACUAACAUAUGCCAUACUAGUCCCUUUCUUUGUAAAGAUCCGUGAAUAAAUCUUUAAUAUAUUAAAAUUAAGAAAAUAAAACAAACAAGAUUUUUUGUUUGCAGUUAUAAAUACAAAAAAAAAUAUGAUUUUCCCUAAUUUGAGGUCAUAAAAACUUGUUAUACACUAAAGAGAGAGAGAGAGCAAGAGAGCGUUUUGUCUGUCGGCUUUGUAUUGUUCGCUCUUUUGUUGUUUCUGUUUCAUUACAUAGUGCUAUGACACGUAAUAUCUAUUGAGGUAUAAUGGCCCCUCAGAGUUGUAUAUUGUACCACAUCAAUAACUUAAUGGACAUUUCUGGUUAAUAUAGUUUUUCAUAUCUGGCCAUAUUACAAAUUUUGUUCUAUAAAACAAAUAAACCUCUGCUCUGUAAUGCAUAAUUGAAUAUGCAACAUCAUAGGUAACAUUUCUGUUAUUCGACGAUAAUUAUAUUUUAUGGUAACAUGCUCAAUAUGUAAUUUUUUUUUAUUAAUAUUACAUCAUUUAAA
rnacentral:sRNA from 1 species